GUUUACAGAAAUAUAUUUCCAACGCAACUUCUCGAUUUUGGAGAAAGGAGAACGCACCCCUAAAACAACUAAUUCGUUUCGAGUUUAUAUAUCGUCAAAUCAACUUUGUAUUCAAAGUUGUAAAUUGGAUAUUAUCAAAUCUUAGCUCGUUCAUAUUCCGAGGUAACCAUUGAUGCAGUUUCUGAAGGCAUAAAACAAAGAUAACUCAGCAUUAGAAUUAUAUAAAAGUGAAAAACUGCCACACAAUUCUAACGCUUAGCUGUCUUUGCACGGCUUCCAUCUGCCAAGUCUAUCAUUUCCACCCUCAUUCGUUGAAUUUACUUAUCUUCCCAUUUAUCACACUGUCAAUCCUCCACGAAUUCCCCCUUUUGACGCAUGCUCGUCAACUGAUUCCCUUCUUGGCGGCCUGGUGGAUGUGUUUGUCCAGCUUCCCUA